GUGAAUCAUCAAAUCUUUGAACGCAAAUUGCGCUUCCUAGCAUCCCGGGGAGUAUGCCUGUUUGAGGGUCAGUAUUAACAAAAAAAUCGGUUUGGUUGCAAAUUGUGACGUUUCCGGAGUUUGGGCUACCUUAACUUUUUUGGUUAAGGGGCUUAAAAUUGACCUUCUUUGCGCAUUUUUAACCGUACAUAAUUUUUUUUUUUUUUCUUUUUUUCUUAUUCCAAAAUCUUUAUUCAUUGG
rnacentral:misc_RNA from 1 species